UACGUAGGGGGCAAGCGUUGUCCGGAUUUACUGGGCGUAAAGAGCGUGUAGGCGGCCACGCAGGUCCGUUGUGAAAACUGGAGGCUCAACCUUCAGACGUCGACGGAAACCGUAUGGCUAGAGUCCGGAAGAGGAGAGUGGAAUUCCUGGUGUAGCGGUGAAAUGCGCAGAUAUCAGGAAGAACACCAAUGGCGAAGGCAGCUCUCUGGGACGGUACUGACGCUGAGACGCGAAAGCGUGGGGGAGCGAACAGG
rnacentral:rRNA from 1 species